rnacentral:rRNA from 1 species
CCUACGGGAGGCAGCAGUAGGGAAUCUUCCACAAUGCGCGAAAGCCUGAUGGAGCAACGCCGCGUGGGUGAAGAAGGUCUUCGGAUCGUAAAACCCUGUUGUCAGAGAAGAAAGUGCGUAAGAGUAACUGUUCACGUUUCGACGGUAUCUAACUAGAAAGCCACGGCUAACUACGUGCCAGCAGCCGCGGUAAUACGUAGGUGGCAAGCGUUAUCCGGAUUUAGUGGGCGUAAAGGGAACGCAGGCGGUCUUUUAAGUCUGAUGUGAAAGCCUUGGGCUUAACCGGAGUAGUGCAUUGGAAACUGGGAGACUUGAGUGCAGAAGAGGAGAGUGGAACUCCAUGUGUAGCGGUGAAAUGCGUAGAUAUAUGGAAGAACACCAGUGGCGAAAGCGGCUCUCUGGUCUGUAACUGACGCUGAGGUUCGAAAGCGUGGGUAGCAAACAGGAUUAGAUACCCGUGUAGUC